rnacentral:rRNA from 1 species
AUUGGACGCUGGCGGCAUGCCUUACACAUGCAAGUCGAACGGCAGCACGGGAGCAAUCCUGGUGGCGAGUGGCGAACGGGUGAGUAAUACAUCGGAACGUGCCCAAUCGUGGGGGAUAACGCAGCGAAAGCUGUGCUAAUACCGCAUACGAUCUACGGAUGAAAGCAGGGGAUCGCAAGACCUUGCGCGAAUGGAGCGGCCGAUGGCAGAUUAGGUAGUUGGUGAGGUAAAGGCUCACCAAGCCGUCGAUCUGUAGCUGGUCUGAGAGGACGACCAGCCACACUGGGACUGAGACACGGCCCAGACUCCUACGGGAGGCAGCAGUGGGGAAUUUUGGACAAUGGGCGAAAGCCUGAUCCAGCCAUGCCGCGUGCAGGAUGAAGGCCUUCGGGUUGUAAACUGCUUUUGUACGGAACGAAACGGCCUUUUCUAAUAAAGAGGGCUAAUGACGGUACCGUAAGAAUAAGCACCGGCUAACUACGUGCCAGCAGCCGCGGUAAUACGUAGGGUGCAAGCGUUAAUCGGAAUUACUGGGCGUAAAGCGUGCGCAGGCGGUUAUGUAAGACAGUUGUGAAAUCCCCGGGCUCAACCUGGGAACUGCAUCUGUGACUGCAUAGCUAGAGUACGGUAGAGGGGGAUGGAAUUCCGCGUGUAGCAGUGAAAUGCGUAGAUAUGCGGAGGAACACCGAUGGCGAAGGCAAUCCCCUGGACCUGUACUGACGCUCAUGCACGAAAGCGUGGGGAGCAAACAGG